UACAUCCUUCAUUUGUUCAUCCAUUACUUCAUCAAAAGGGUUUCUUAUCGAGAGUUAGAUCAAGAGAUGGGGCGCCGGCUAAUGGUUCUGCGGUGUUUCUCUUACAAGAUUGUUUCAUCUUCAGAAGAUGAUGAUGUAGAACCCACAGUAGUUCCUACUAAAUGCAAGAAAGGAUCUGCUAUUGUUUUAAGAUAAGAUUUUAUCUUACUAGAGUAAUGGUGUUUCCUGCCUUUUUUGUAUUAAAAGAAGCAUAAAGUUUGUUCUAAAGGAGCUCUUUAUGAACAAAG